UGGUCGAUGAUGACGUGACCACUGCGCAAUCUGAGAUCUCGGAACCAGGUGAUGGAGUUUGUGCUAAUGAUCUGAGACCG
ensembl:scaRNA